rnacentral:rRNA from 1 species
GACAGAGGUUCCAAGCGUUAGGCGGAAUCACUGGGCUUAAAGCGUGUGUAGGCGGAUCGUUAAGUGCCUUGUGAAAUCCCACGGCUUAACCGUGGAACUGCUCGGCAUACUGGCGGUCUUGAGCCAGCUAGGGGCUACCGGAACAAAUGGUGGAGCGGUGAAAUGCGUAGAUAUCAUUUGGAACGCCAAUGGUGAAAACAGGUAGCUGGGGCUGUGCUGACGCUGAGACACGAAAGCCAGGGGAGCGAACGGA